rnacentral:tRNA from 1 species
AGAAAAGUAAGCUAAUAAUAUUAAGCUAUUGGGUUCAUACCCCAAUUAUAGAGAUAAAUCUCUCUUUUCUA